UACGUAGGGGGCAAGCGUUGUCCGGAAUCAUUGGGCGUAAAGAGCGCGUAGGCGGCCCUGUAAGUCCGCUGUGAAAGUCAAGGGCUCAACCCUUGAAUGCCGGUGGAUACUGCAGGGCUGGAGUCCGGAAGAGGCGAGUGGAAUUCCUGGUGUAGCGGUGAAAUGCGCAGAUAUCAGGAGGAACACCGAUGGCGAAGGCAGCUCGCUGGGACGGUACUGACGCUGAGGCGCGAAAGCGUGGGGAGCAAACAGG
rnacentral:rRNA from 1 species